rnacentral:rRNA from 1 species
UUGGAGGGCAAGUCUGGUGCCAGCAGCCGCGGUAAUUCCAGCUCCAAUAGCGUAUAUUAAAGUUGUUGCAGUUAAAAAGCUCGUAGUUGAAUUUCGGGGUUAGUAGGUUGGUCAUGCCUCUGGUAUGUACUGGUCUCACUGAUUCCUCCUUCCUGAUGAGCCGUAAUGCCAUUAAUUUGGUGUUGCGGGGAAUUUGGACUGUUACUUUGAAAAAAUUAGAGUGUUUAAAGCAAGCUAACGCUUGAAUACAUUAGCAUGGAAUAAUGAAAUAGGACGUUCGAUCCUAUUUUGUUGGUUUCUAGGAUUGACGUAAUGAUUAAUAGGGAUAGUUGGGGGCAUUAGUAUUCAAUUGUCAGAGGUGAAAUUCUUGGAUUUAUUGAAGACUAACUACUGCGAAAGCAUUUGCCAAGGAUGUUUUCAUUAAUCAAGAACGAAAGUUAGGGGAUCGAAGACGAUCAGGUACCGUCGUAGUCUUAACCAUAAACUAUGCCGACUAGGGAUCGGAUGAUGUUAAUUUUUUAAUGACUCAUUCGGCGCCUUACGGGAAAC